AUUGAUUGGGCAGAUAAAGCUUCAUCUUACUCCCUUGAAAGAGAUGAUGGACAGAAUGGUUUCAGCUCUGAUGAAGAGGAUCUUCCACCGAUUUCUAUACGGUGUGUUAUUUGUCAGUCUCAAUUUGCAGUUGUUUUGUGGUGUUUGUUUACUACAGAUUUUUGUGCCUCAAUAGAAUGGGUGGAGCACUGAAGAAAGCACACUCUAUCGAUGGACUUCCUUGCCUGCACAUGAAGAUGCUCGUGAUGAGCCUUCUCCCUGUGAUCAUGACCCUGUUUUCCCAGAACCACAGAAUGUCCUUUGUGAAGAUGACAUCAUAGGUGUCAGAGCCUCCAUAGUGUACGAGAACUGCUUAAGACAACUGGCUACAUUUCUGAUCCUGCCUGUGGAUAAAUGCACUGGCCUUCUGAGGACUGGUGCGCCGUGCAACUCUGUUGCACAAUUUCAGAUCAACAUCACCACCAAGGGCACAGCAGCUACUAUCGAAUGGAUCGACUGCAGACCUAGAGUCAUUCCAGAAUCAUAUCCUGAUGUAUGCCAGCAAGCACUAUGCUUUCCAGUUUAUGAGGCAAGAGUUCUGCUUGCUGCUUUGGACUACAAUUUCCACCGGAACGGACCAACAAUGAAAACGUUGGACGGCAAAGAAAUUUUCAAAAGAUUGUAUAAGAAGAACGCUAGAAGACAGCGUAUAUGCCUUGAAAUCUGAAAAAACCUACGUGUAGUGGCUAUUUGUCCAUAAACUUAAACAAAAACAAAUAAUAACAAACUUCUCAAAUGGCCACUUGAGGCUACAUCAUGGUUAGGCUUUACGCAGGUUCAGAGGUACCAAAGCAAGGUAAUGUCCAUAACAAGAUUGAGUUUGAGGAGGUUUAUUCACACACAUAAGCAAGCUUACAGACAUUUCUGCUGCCUCUCUCACGCUGGUAAAAAACCAUAUGCCCUUGUGCCUGCAGCACCUCUCACCUUGACCUACUUAUGCAAAUGAACAUAACACCAUGUGACCAACAAACGACAAUACAAGUAAAGCAUAAAUACAAAAUAAACCAAAUUAACUUUAACAAGAAAAGAAAAGAAAUAAAUUAGGCUAUAAAUUAACUUAAGCCCAAAAUAAACAAAAAAUAAAAAUAUAGCUCCAACACUACGGAUAAAUUUACGAGUUGCAAAGAAGGAUUGUGAAGAACAGACUCACAAGUGGAGUGGGGAUGCCUAGAAGGAGGAGCCUUCGACCAGAUGACACCAGACAGCUUGGUUUGGUGCCCCCCGUACCUGAACCAGCCACAUCAGACUUGUUGCAGAGACAAAUCAGAAGAGGUCUAGGACCGUUAUUCCAACCAGCAUCUGAUGUGGAAGGAUCCCCAGAGGAGAUCACCUUACAUGUGUCCUGGUACUUGUCAGGCAGGAUCACGAGGGAAAGAACUUCACUGACAAAGUCAUAGCUUUUACUCUUCAAAAAGAGAAAUUUAUUAACAUUAAAUUCUGUUCCUACCCUCCUCCAGUGGUUAUUUCAUGUUUUUCCAAUUUAUACACGUUUCAUCUUAUUCUAAGUCCACUGUGACCAGCGCAUAUUAUUUUCAGUAGGUAGCCUAAAUUACAGUUUACAAUUUGAACAGUAAUGAUAAGUAAGGCUACAGCUGUCCCCUAUUAUGUAAAUAUAAAUAACUAAACUAACUGGAAUUGGAAAUGUCAUGGCAAAGUUUGAAAUUCUAAACACAUGUUCAAAUGUAUAUAAUGAAAAUAAAAACACCAUGUGCUUCUA